GUCCGCAUAGCUCAGUUGGCAGAGCAUUGGGCUGGUAUCCCAAAGGUCGUAGGUUCGUUUCCCACUGUGGGCA
rnacentral:tRNA from 1 species